rnacentral:rRNA from 1 species
GACGAACGCUGGCGGCGUGCUUAAUACAUGCAAGUCGAACGGACCGAUUCCGGUCGUUUCCUAUUGGGAAUGGUUAGUGACGGGCGGGUGAGUCAUGCGUAGGCUAUCUGCCCCUCAGUCCGGGCUACCAGAGCGCAAGUUCUGCUACGGACAGUUACUUUUUACUCGCCGCAUGGUAGGUAAAGGAAAGGGUACUCUUAGGGAUGGAACCGCCCCCCCUUAGCUAGUUGGUGAGGUAACGACCCACUAAGGCAACGAUCGGUAGCCGGCCUGAGAGGGUGGACGGCCACACUGGGACGGAGACACGGCCCGGAAUCCUACGGGAGGCAGCAGUAGGGAAUCGGAGGAAAGGGGCGAAAGCCAGACAGAGCAACGCAGCGUGAGGCACGAAGGUCUGCGGAGAGUAAACCUUUGUCAAAGAGGACGAUAAUGACGGUACUCGAGGAGGAAGCCCCGGCUAACUACGUG